CACGUAGGGGGCAAGCGUUGUCCGGAUUUAUUGGGCGUAAAGAGCUCGUAGGCGGUUCGGUAAGUCGGGUGUGAAACCUCCAGGCUCAACCUGGAGACGCCACCCGAUACUGCUGUGACUAGAGUCCGGUAGGGGAGCGUGGAAUUCCUGGUGUAGCGGUGAAAUGCGCAGAUAUCAGGAGGAACACCAGUGGCGAAGGCGGUGCUCUGGGCCGGAACUGACGCUGAGGAGCGAAAGCGUGGGGAGCGAACAGG
rnacentral:rRNA from 1 species